rnacentral:tRNA from 3 species
GGCCUUAUAGUUUAACGGAUAGAACAAGACACUCCUAACGUCUAGAUCCACGUUCAAUUCGUGGUAAGGCCA